UACGUAGGGGGCGAGCGUUGUCCGGAUUUACUGGGCGUAAAGCGCUUGUAGGCGGUCCACCAAGUUUGGGGUGACAGUUGCCGACUUAAUCGGCAAAGUGCCUCAAAGACUGGCGGACUUGAGGGCCACAGAGGGACAUGGAACUCCAGGUGUAGUGGUGAAAUGCGUAGAUAUCUGGAAGAACACCAAAGGCGAAGGCAGUGUCCUGGGUGGUCGCUGACGCUGAGAGGCGAAAGCCAGGGGAGCGAACAGG
rnacentral:rRNA from 1 species